UACAGAGGUCUCAAGCGUUGUUCGGAAUCACUGGGCGUAAAGCGCACGUAGGCGGACUCUUAAGUCGGGGGUGAAAUCCUGGAGCUCAACUCCAGAACUGCCUUCGAUACUGAGAGUCUCGAGUCCGGGAGAGGUGAGUGGAACUGCGAGUGUAGAGGUGAAAUUCGUAGAUAUUCGCAAGAACACCAGUGGCGAAGGCGGCUUACUGGUCCGGUUCUGACGCUGAGGCGCGAAAGCGUGGGGAGCAAACAGG
rnacentral:rRNA from 1 species